CAGGCGUUUCCUCGAUGACCGGUCUCCCCCAUCCUUGUUAUUAACCGGACACAAAAAAUGCAGGUUGUGAACCUCCCAGGACACGUUGGGCCAGCGGGUUUUGGUUUUUGAUGAAAUAGCAGAGAAUAGGAAGUAUCAGAGUACAAAGCACAUGGAAGUAACUAUUUGAGGGGAAACCUUUGUUUCGAUUUUAUGAAAUUGCAUGACACAUUUUCUUGCCUGUGUGUAAGCCGGAACUCAUGGUAAAAUACGUUUCUUACUGAGAGAAGCAGCUGAAAGCUGUUUGCAAGCCACUGUCCUCAAAGAAACCAUGGUCAGCCAGGAGUGGAGUCCUUCAGUUUCUCAGCCUCACACGCCUGGCGUUCUGGGUUCAAUAAUUCUUUUCUGCGGGGGCUACCCUGUGCCUUUGUAGGGCUAUUGGCAAGAGCAGCCCUGGCCUCUACCCAUGAAUGACCGAAAGGACACCCCCUUCCACCCAGUCACAACUGAAAAUAUCUCCAGACACUGGCAGAUGGCACUAGGGGGGCAACAUUGCCCCUGCCUGAGAAGUAUUGGUCCAGGGUGAAGUCAGCAUCCUCCUUGCCCUCGAAUAUUCUGCUACCAACUUGCCUAUACUUGAAAUUCUACUCAGCAAACGUGAGGGCCUACUGAUUACAGUAGGCCUGUUCUGAUUGGAAGGAAUGGAUGUGAAAUUGCUGGAAGGCAUUGGUACCAAAUGGGAGAAAGGGCCAACAGCCAUGGAUAAACGUUGCCAGUGACGGCCCCAGGUCGGGCCUGCUCCCUGUCCAUCAGGAAAGGGCAGGUCAGCAUCACAGUGGCCACACCUCUGUCAUCCCAGGGUGGCUUCGUCCUGAGAAAUACCAAAACACCUGACAGCAGGGUGCCCUCAUCUGGUGGCUGAGACCGAAUAGAAGCCUUUGGACCUUUGUCUUUAUACAACCCGCCACCAGCUUCCCCGAUGACCUACGUUGCAUUUGAAUGUUUAGCCAACCACGGCAGCGUGUGGAUCAUCUUUAAACCUGCAAGACUUGGGAGUUAGUAAAUGCCUGAUGGAA